rnacentral:rRNA from 1 species
CAGUCGCCGCGGGAACACGUAGGUGGCAAGCGUUGUCCGGAAUUAUUGGGCGUAAAGGGCUCGCGGGCGGUUUCUUAAGUCUGAUGUGAAAGCCCCUGGCUCAACCGGGGAGGGUCAUUGGAAACUGGGAAACUUGAGUGCAGAAGAGGAGAGUGGAAUUCCACGUGUAGCGGUGAAAUGCGUAGAGAUGUGGAGGAACACCAGUGGCGAAGGCGACUCUCUGGUCUGUAACUGACGCUGAGGAGCGAAAGCGUGGGGAGCGAACAGGAUUAGAUACCCCUGUAGUCCCUGUCUCUUAUAA